rnacentral:tRNA from 2 species
UCCGGGAUCGUCUAAUGGUAGGACACAUGCCUCUGGAGCAUGGAAUCAUGGUUCGAAUCCAUGUCCCGGAA